AUACGGAGGGUGCGAGCGUUAAUCGGAAUUACUGGGCGUAAAGCGUGCGUAGGCGGCUCGUUAAGUCAGAUGUGAAAGCCCUGGGCUCAACCUGGGAACGGCAUUUGAAACUGGCGAGCUAGAGUUUGGGAGAGGAGAGUGGAAUUUCAGGUGUAGCGGUGAAAUGCGUAGAUAUCUGAAGGAACACCAGUGGCGAAGGCGACUCCCUGGACUAGAACUGACGCUGAGGUACGAAAGCGUGGGUAGCAAACAGGAUUAGAUACCCUGGUAGUCCACGCCGUAAACGAUGUCGACUAGCCGUUGGUCCUAUUUACAGGAUUAGUGGCGCAGCUAACGCAUUAAGUCGACCGCCUGGGGAGUACGGCCGCAAGGUUAAA
rnacentral:rRNA from 1 species